rnacentral:rRNA from 1 species
UACGGGGGGGGGUAAGCGUUGUUCGGAAUUACUGGGCGUAAAGGGCUUGUAGGUGGCCAACUAAGUCAGACGUGAAAUCCCCUCGGCUUAACCGGGGAACUGCGUCUGAUACUGGAUGGCUUGAGUGUGGGAGAGGGAUGCGGAAUUCCAGGUGUAGCGGUGAAAUGCGUAGAUAUCUGGAGGAACACCGGUGGCGAAGGCGGCAUCCUGGACCAUUACUGACACUGAAAA